rnacentral:rRNA from 1 species
UAAAUUAUUAUUGUUUUAGUAUUAAGUAUUGCAUACUAUUAAUAGAAAAUUUUAUUUAUAUGAAAAAUAGAAAUAAAGUGUAGAAUCAUAAUUUGUUUUAUUAUUACAUAAUAAAAAUUAUUAUGAUUAGCGUUGAAAUGUCGAACUUUAUAAUAUCUGUGUUAUAAUUUUUAUUAGAAAAUUAUAAAAUUUAAAUUUUAUUUUUAUAAAAUUAAAAUUUAAAGUGUUUUUAUUUUUGGUUUUAUAACCAAUUAUUUUUUUUUUAAAAAAUGAAGUUAGAAGUUAAUUUAAUAAGUUGUUAUUAAAUUAAUAGUUAUUAAAUUAGUAAAUAGUUUUAAUUAUAUUGUAAUUUUUUAAUAUAAUAAAAAAAUUAGAGUUUUAAUCAAAUGUUUUUUAAAGACUUAGACUUUAUUUUAAAGUUUGCUUCUGCCCGGUGAAAAUUUAAAUGGCAGUCUUAGCGUGAGGACAUUAAGGUAGCAAAAUAAUUUGUACUUUUAUUGGGUUCCAGUAUGAAUGAAGUUAUUGGUUAAUUUUUUUUUUAUUUUAUUUUUGAAGUUUUUAUUAUAUAAAAAAUUAUAGAUAUACUUAUACAAAGAUAAGUCUUCGGAAAUUUUUUUAAUAAUAAUUUUUUAUAAUUAUUAUUAAGUUUUCUAGGGUAGAAUAAUAAGUAUACUUAUUUACUAUUAAUAAGUUAAAAAAUUACUCCGGAGUUAACAGAAAAUCAUAUCUAGUCUAGUUCUUAUAGUAAGAUAAGUUUUACAUCGAUGUUGUAUUUAAGUUUAUUAAGAAUGGAGAAGGCUUAAGUUUUAAGACUGUUCUUCUUUUAAUUAAUUUAACGUGAUAUUAGUUUAAUUCAUCGCGAGAUAGAAUUGUUUAUCUUGUUAAGUAUUGGGUAUAAUUGGUGCUAGUACGAAAGGAAAGUUUUAAAGAUUUAAAAUCUUAUGAGUUUCUCAAUUUUAAUA